UCCCUAGGUGACAUGUCUGACUGCUGGGAUACUCAACAGAAUGUUGUAUGUGUAGGAUUUCAAGUCCUAGCUGUAAAGUACAAUGACAUUGCUGAUACACACAGAAUUUCCGCCCUCCCUGUACUUGUUCAAUGCUCUGCAGA